ACGUUCAGGUAAUCGCUGCAGUCUUUAGGAUUGUAGAGGAAAGUCCAUGCUCGCACGGUGCUGAGAUGCCCGUAGUGUUCGUGCCUAGCGAAUUCAUAAGCUAGGGCAGCCAAGGUUGCUUGGUUGACGGCAGGGAAAAAGCCUAAGUCCUUUGGAUAUGGCUUGAAUACCUUGAAAGUGCCACAGUGACGGAGUCUUGCGAGAAAUCGUAAGAGUGGAACGAGGUAAACCCCACGAGCGAGAAACCCAAAUUAUGGUAGGGGCACCUUCUUGGAGGAAUUGAACGAAGAGAAGGACAAAAGCAAUAUGCUUUUGUAGAUAGAUGAUUACCACCUGAGUACGAGGCUUAUGCCGUUUGAAGUACGAUGGAACAAAACAUGGCUUAUCGAA
rnacentral:RNase_P_RNA from 1 species